rnacentral:ribozyme from 1 species
AAUAGCAAUGAUAAAACCGAAAUAUAACAUUAGUUGUUACGCAUUAUUGCUUGUCUAUAUCUUACAACACGUUUUGCAAAAACUGUCAGAACAAAUUCAAAACAAAUUU